rnacentral:lncRNA from 1 species
AUGAUGAUAGGCACAAUCUUGUUUGUGGUAGCUUUGAUCGUUAUGGGAGUGAACAUUACCUGUGUUCUGUCUUCUCCAAAAUGUAAGUAAAAACUUGGAGCUUGACCCAAGAUUUCCCCAGGAAGUGAUAUAAUUUGUGUUGAACUAUGCUCAGGAGAUCAAUUGUGCCCUGGCCAAAUGAAGUUCUGUAGCAAUGUCUGUGGUCAUAUCUGCAAAUCUACUGGCUUUUAA